GUGCAAAAAACAUUUUGACAAUCCUACAUGAUACUCUAACUUUCCCCUCAAACAAACAUGCAUUUCCUGAUCUGAGUUGGAAAUUUCCUCUCAAGUAGUGUUUGAUGAACUGAACAAAGAGCAUUAUGCCUAACCAAAGGGACUUAAAAGGCAACAGAGAUGUGACAUCUGAAAUCAGUGAUGAAUGAGCUACUGAUGAACACAUCCAGGACCUCUGGAAGCCAUUCUCAUCCAGCCCAGUAAUACUGCCAUUAUUUUGUUUCAGAGAUCAGUAAAUGUAAUCAGUGUGAUAAAGGAUUUUCAAUGUUAAAACACCUAAUUUCAAUCUUAUUGAGAAAUGAUAUGUCAUUUUAGGCAUAUCCAGAAGUGCUAUAAAGAAAGCAGGUCAUAAAAAAGAAAGGAAAAAAAUUGCAUUAAUCCAGAAAAGCAAACAGAAAAAUCUUAAUCUGAUCAAGUACCUCAC
ensembl:lncRNA